ACGGAAGGCAGCAGUGGGGAAUAUUGCACAAUGGGGGAAACCCUGAUGUAGCAACGCCGCGUGAGUGAAGAAGUAUUUCGGUAUGUAAAGCUCUAUCAGCAGGGAAGAUAAUGACGGUACCUGACUAAGAAGCUCCGGCUAAAUACGUGCCAGCAGCCGCGGUAAUACGUAGGGGGCAAGCGUUAUCCGGAUUUACUGGGUGUAAAGGGAGUGUAGGUGGUUUGGCAAGUCAGAUGUGAAAGCCCGGGGCUCAACUCCGGGACUGCAUUUGAAACUGUCAGACUAGAGUGCAGGAGAGGAAAGUGGAAUUCCUAGUGUAGCGGUGAAAUGCGUAGAUAUUAGGAAGAACACCAGUGGCGAAGGCGGCUUUCUGGACUGUAACUGACACUGAGGCUCGAAAGCGUGGGGAGCAAACAGGAUUAGAUACCCUGGUA
rnacentral:rRNA from 1 species